rnacentral:rRNA from 1 species
CGGGUCUUGUACACACCGCCCGUCACACCAUGGGAGUGGAGGAUACCAGAAGUAGUUAGACUAACCGUAAGGGGGUCGAUUACCACGGUAUGUUUCAUGACUGGGGUG